rnacentral:lncRNA from 1 species
UCAGCGUGGUUCUAAGAAUUUAAAACCAGUCUGGAAGAAAAACAACAUUUAAGUUUUAUUCUAGAGUAUCAUGAGACUCAUAAGAUACCCUAGGUCUUCGGGGCUUCCUCUUCGGUGAGUUCCUGCUGGCUUUCUGAAAACAACAACAAGGGAUCCCCUGAGUACGAAGUACUCAGCAAGUCUUACCCGACUAACCAAUAUAAUAGUUUUCUU